rnacentral:rRNA from 1 species
CUACGGGUCGCAGCAGUGGGGAAUAUUGCACAAUGGAGGAAACUCUGAUGCAGCAACGCCGCGUGGAGGAUGACAGUUUUCGGAGCGUAAACUCCUUUUAUAUAGGAAGAAGAUGACGGUACUAUAUGAAUAAGCGCCGGCUAACUCCGUGCCAGCAGCCGCGGUAAUACGGAGGGCGCAAGCGUUACUCGGAAUCACUGGGCGUAAAGAGCGUGUAGGCGGAUUAAAAAGUCAGAAGUGAAAUCCUAUAGCUUAACUAUAGAACUGCUUCUGAAACUCUUAAUCUAGAAUAUGGGAGAGGUAGACGGAAUUUCUGGUGUAGGGGUAAAAUCCGUAGAGAUCAGAAGGAAUACCGAUUGCGAAGGCGAUCUACUAGAACAUUAUUGACGCUGAGACGCGAAAGCGUGGGGAGCAAACAGGAUUAGAUACCCGCGUAGUC